rnacentral:rRNA from 1 species
CAACCCCUCAAGCCCGGCUUGUGUGAUGGACGACCGUCCGGCCCCUCCCUUCGGGGGCGGGACGCGCCCGAAAAGCAGUGGCCAGGCCGCGAUUCCGGCUUCCUAGGCGAAUGGGCAGCCAAUUCAGCGCCCUCAGGACCGGCCGCCCUGGCCCCAAUCUUUAUAUAUAUAUAUAUNANG